GACCUGUCCUUAGUACGAGAGGACCGGGAUGGACGUACCGCUGGUGUACCAGUUGUUCUGCCAAGGGCAUAGCUGGGUAGCUAAGUACGGAAAGGAUAAGCGCUGAAAGCAUCUAAGCGCGAAGCCUACUUCGAGAUAAGAUUUCCCACCGUAAGGUUAAGACCCCAUGAAGACUACAUGGUUGAUAGGUCAGAGGUGGAAGUGUGGUAACAUAUGUAGCUUACUGAUACUAAUAGGUCGAGGACUUGACCAA
rnacentral:rRNA from 1 species